GCUCGGCGCACGCGCGCCCCCUGGCCCGGAGCUCCGGGCGGAAGUCUCGGCGCCCCUGGUUGGCGGCGCUCCUCGGCCCCUGGCAGCAGCAAACGCAAGUCGUUUUGGGCGAGUUCGCUUGAAGCCCAGGAUAAACGAAUUGUUGGUGAAGGGAAGUUAUGUACGGAAUUCCACCUAAUAACUGCAGAAGAAAUAUAGCGACGUCAUGGUUGCUGAAGCCUGUAGGUGGCAGACUGAUGAGGACAAUGCACGGACCGGCUCACUCUCCGCAUCCGUGAAUGGCCCCAACUUUGCCGAAAGGAAGCCACUCAGGGCCUCCUGGUCUGAAGCAGCAGAAUCUGCACGGUGCAACCUGCAAAGAACGCUCGAUCAGAAGCAAAGCUCUGACCUAAUCAAGCUUUGGGACCUGACUAUCAAUGUAUAUAAGAUAGAGGGGACAGAGGAAGAUGUUAAAAGACAGUAGGGAUGCAGUCAUCCAGAUCCUCUUUAGGGCAAAUGACUCAGGUUUUUUCCGAAAAAUAAAUGACAAGGGAAAAAAAAGAGGGAGGGGUAAUUAUCAAUUAACAGAGACUUAAGACAUAGGUCCUCUAAAUGCAGCAUGUGCACCUUGUUCAAACCCUCAUUCUAAUUUGUAAUGUUAAGUCAAGAUAGGAAGAGUUUCCUGGUAAUUAUGAAGCUAAUAGACUGCAGCACGCCCCACUUCCUCUUCCCAGGCACUGCUCCUAUCCGCUGACACUCCAGUCUCUCUCUUCUGCCCAGACCCUCCUGUCCCCAAGACCCUCCAGCCCACCACUUUCCAUGAAAUCCUUCCUGGAGAGACAUCAGGGUAGGCACUUGUCAGUUUAUCCUUGUAGUUCUGCCCCUGUUACUUUAUGUGUUUGAAAGCAAGUAUUAGUUGCGUAUAAGUUUAGAACUACUAGCUGUUCUCCGUGAAUUGAACCUUUCAUCAGUCUGCAGUGUUCUUCUUUACCUCUGCCCACAGCCGGUCUGACAUUAACGUGGCUGCUCCAACUUUCUUUUGGUUUGUUUUGCACACACCUUUCUUUGGGUGUCAAUUUUAUAUUUCAGGUGUGUCCCUAGAAACAGUAUAAAUGGUUCUUAUAUUUCGAAUACAGUCUGACUUGAAUACA